GAUGAAGAACGUAGCGAAAUGCGAUACUUGGUGUGAAUUGCAGAAUCCCGUGAACCAUCGAGUCUUUGAACGCAAGUUGCGCCCGAAGCCUCGGCUAAGGGCACGUCUGCCUGGGCGUCACGCAUCGCGUCUCCCCCAAACCGCCAAGGCGGAGGGGAAGGAAGAUGGCUUCCCGUGCCUCACCCGGCGCGGUUGGCCUAAAUUUGGAGCCCGCGGCACUUAGCUCUCGCGGCGAUAGGUGGUGAACAAGGCCUUGGCCGUGCAAACAACCCGCUGCGAAGCUCUAUGUCACGUGCGCUCGUCGGACCCUUUGAAGUUGCCUUCGGUGACUUAAAACCUUUGCGACCCCAGGUCAGGCGGGGCUACCCGCUGAAUUUAAGCAUAUCAAUAAGCGGAGGA
rnacentral:misc_RNA from 1 species